rnacentral:rRNA from 1 species
AUGAACGCUGGCGGCACGGAUAAGUCAUGCAAGUCGAACGGUGCAAGGUAGCAAUACUUUGCAUAGUGGCGAACGAGUUAGUAACACCUUGGUACGUACUCCGAAGUUGGGCAUAAUCCCGCGAAAGCGGGACUAAUUCCCGAUAGUCUCGUAAGAGUAAAGAAGCAAUUCGCUUCGGAAGCGGCCUAGGUCCUAUCAGCUAGUUGGCGGGGUAAAAGCCCACCAAGGCUAUGACGGGUAGGGGGUGUGAGAGCACGACCCUCAACGAUGGAACUGAGAAACGGUCCAUACACCUACGGGUGGCAGCAGACGAGAAUAUUCGACAAUGCACGAAAGUGUGAUCGAGCGAUGCCGCGUGCAGGAAGAAGCUCUUCGGAGCGUAAACUGCUUUUGCCAUGGAAAAAUUUUGAUUGUACAUGGAGAAUAAGGGGUUGCUAACUCUGU